GAAAAAUAAUUUCUUUAAAAUGAAAUUUAAAUGCACACAAGCAUUAUCCUCAAGAAGAGAGGAAAAAAAUUGCAUAAAGGUAAUCCUAAAUCAUUCCAGCUAAGGAAUGGUAUGAGAUUUGCUGCUCUUAUCUGCAUUCUGCAACAACCAGCAAAGAUUUUUCAUUGGCUGAACAUGGAUCACCACCAAAAUAUCCGGUUGAUACAGGAAUUGAACAAUUCAUUUUCCCCAGACAUGCCUUUUCAACAAUGGCUUUUGAAGAAUAGGAAUGACAAUUGCCAACUGCAUAAGUAGCAGUACAGUUACCAAGUGGAGUUCCAUAGCUUGCAAAUGCAAUAUUGGAAAUCUUGCUGUUUGAAGGGCAACCCAACUGAACUAUUGGUCUUCUGCUCUUUAUCUUCAUAUAUGCUUUAGUUUUCUGAUCAUAUCCUACCCAUGAAGAUACAGGGGGAAGAUGAGAAGCAGUCACAUAACUGCAUACUUGUGAGAUUGAGGCAGUGUCCACUGAGAUUUGCAGAGGAUUCCCACCCACUUCUUCCAAGAGAACUAAUAGGUUUCCUGUAGGUUUGAGGAAAGAUCGUGGCACAUUGUACCAUAUUUGUGAAGAUCCAUCUGGUGAGCGAUAUGAGGGCCAAUAUCUUCCAAUGCUGUAGCCGUUAAC
rnacentral:misc_RNA from 1 species